rnacentral:lncRNA from 1 species
AGGGGCAUGCCCAGGCCUGCCCGGCUCGAGCGAGGAGUCCGGAGGGGUCGGGAGGCUCCGUCCUAGGGGUCGAGGCUGCCCGUCGGCCUCUGCUUUGGAUGGGCUGUGUCGCGUAGGGCAAACGUCAGGACCUCUCUUGACUCAGUUUCCUCGCCUGUAAUAUGCGGGCAGAGGGGCUUUCGCACGCAGGUUGUGAGGGUCAAACUAAACGGGAAGAGUGUGUGAGAACCCCCGGAGUCAUUCCAGAGGUCGGGGGGCAGCUGCCUGGGUGACGUGUGUCCACUUGGCCUGCACCCCUGCUGUUCCUCUGGGUCCUGGAACGAGGCGAAGACGUGUAUGAGCCCCGCACGGAGGCGUCCGCCAGCCUGUACUGCUCCGGCGUGCUGGUCCUGACCCGAAGGACCACGGAGCUGGAGGCGCGGGGCGGAGCUGUCGAGACGCCCAGGCCCAUGGGGGAGGAGGCCACGGCCUCGGCAGGACACGGGCGGAUGACCGGGGGCAUCGGGCAGUGAGGGCGGCGGCCCCCUCCCAGCACCCGCGCGACGCCACCAUGCGGUCUGGGACAGGACACCCCUGAGAGCGCCGGCCCCCUCCCCUACCGCCCCUCUGUCCCUCCAGGGGCUGCUGCCCAGCCCCCCCCGGCCCCCAGUCCCCCAGGGCAGGCAGCGCAGGUU